UACGAAGGGGGCUAGCGUUGUUCGGAAUUACUGGGCGUAAAGCGCACGUAGGCGGAUAUUUAAGUUAGGGGUGAAAUCCCAGGGCUCAACCCUGGAACUGCCUUUAAUACUGGGUAUCUCGAGUCCGAGAGAGGUGAGUGGAAUUCCGAGUGUAGAGGUGAAAUUCGUAGAUAUUCGGAAGAACACCAGUGGCGAGGGCGGCUUACUGGUCCGGUACUGACGCUGAGGUGCGAAAGCGUGGGGAGCAAACAGG
rnacentral:rRNA from 1 species